UAUGGGAGCUUGCUCCCUGAUGUUAGCGGCGGACGGGUGAGUAACACGUGGGUAACCUGCCUGUAAGACUGGGAUAACUCCGGGAAACCGGGGCUAAUACCGGAUGGUUGUUUGAACCGCAUGGUUCAAACAUAAAAGGUGGCUUCGGCUACCACUUACAGAUGGACCCGCGGCGCAUUAGCUAGUUGGUGAGGUAACGGCUCACCAAGGCAACGAUGCGUAGCCGACCUGAGAGGGUGAUCGGCCACACUGGGACUGAGACACGGCCCAGACUCCUACGGGAGGCAGCAGUAGGGAAUCUUCCGCAAUGGACGAAAGUCUGACGGAGCAACGCCGCGUGAGUGAUGAAGGUUUUCGGAUCGUAAAGCUCUGUUGUUAGGGAAGAACAAGUACCGUUCGAAUAGGGCGGUACCUUGACGGUACCUAACCAGAAAGCCACGGCUAACUACGUGCCAGCAGCCGCGGUAAUACGUAGGUGGCAAGCGUUGUCCGGAAUUAUUGGGCGUAAAGGGCUCGCAGGCGGUUUCUUAAGUCUGAUGUGAAAGCCCCCGGCUCAACCGGGGAGGGUCAUUGGAAACUGGGGAACUUGAGUGCAGAAGAGGAGAGUGGAAUUCCACGUGUAGCGGUGAAAUGCGUAGAGAUGUGGAGGAACACCAGUGGCGAAGGCGACUCUCUGGUCUGUAACUGACGCUGAGGAGCGAAAGCGUG
rnacentral:rRNA from 1 species